rnacentral:lncRNA from 1 species
CUUGUUUCUUCUGGGAACUUCUCUGUAAGAAUGAGUUUCAGAUUUGUGUUUCAAAGAAAAAGGGCAUUUUUAGUACAGAUAUUUUACUCUUUAAUAUAUAUUAUUUUAUUCUUUAAUCUCUCUCUUUCUUGGUGUGUUAUACAUCCUUCACUUUAGAUAAGUAGUACCUAACAUAAUUUAGUGAUGUAAACUAUUGUAGCCUAGACAUAGCAGGGGACACAGUUGAGAUGUUCAAAAGGAGAAAACCAAACUAAAAAAUGUUGACAGAGUAGUUAUUCAGCAGAAAAAAUUUUCAGAAGCUUAUGUUUAUUUCUUUUUAUUGUAAUCAUUGAACACAUACUGCCCUAUAUUUAUUACAUUUUCAAAUUCUUUGUAGUCCUUUGUGUUCUUCUUUACUGAUGUCCCAGUUUAUUCAUAUUAACCACCAAAACUUACCUUUUGUUGUGAGGGCCAGCAUGGUCUCUUACAAAUCUUCUUGUGAGGAAACCUGUAAAGAAGCAAACAGAAGAGAGACACACACACACAUUGAAAAGAAAAAAAGAAAAAAAAACUGGCCACUCCUCUUCUUGGCUGCAUAUAGUAUACCCCAAAAUCACAUAACUUCUGUUACCGUUCAUACAUUAUAACCCAGCCUUAUUUUAUCCCCAAGUGCUAGCUAACCAAGAUAAGGUACAGUUAAUACAAACAUAGAGCCCCUUCUCCCUAAGGACAUUACCACAGAAAGUAGAUAGUG